CACUCCUACGGGAGGCAGCAGUGGGGAAUAUUGCACAAUGGGCGCAAGCCUGAUGCAGCCAUGCCGCGUGUAUGAAGAAGGCCUUCGGGUUGUAAAGUACUUUCAGCAGGUGAGGAAGGUAGUGUAGUUAUAGCUGCAUUAUUUGACGGUACCAUCAGAAUAAGGACCGGCUAACUCCGUGCCAGCAGCCGCGGUAAUACGGAGGGUCCAAGCGUUAUCCGGAAUCACUGGGUUUAAAGGGUGCGUAGGCGGAUAACUAAGUCUAAGGUGAAAGUCUGUGGCUUAACUAUAGAAUUGCCUUGGAUACUGGUUAUCUUGAAUUGGGGUUGAGGAUGGCGGAAUGUGACAUGUAGCGGUGAAAUGCAUAGAUAUGUCAUAGAACACCGAUUGCGAAGGCAGCCAUCUGGGCCUUGAUUGACGCUGAGGCACGAAAGCGUGGGGAGCGAACAGGAUUAGAUACCCUGGUAG
rnacentral:rRNA from 1 species